rnacentral:tRNA from 1 species
GCGGGCGUGGCGGAAUUGGUAGACGCGCUGGUUUUAGGUACCAGUGUCCUCGUGACGUGGGGGUUCAAAUCCCUCCGCCCGCA